rnacentral:rRNA from 1 species
AAUGAACGCUGGCGGCAUGGAUUAGGCAUGCAAGUCGAACGAGAACUAACAGCUUGCUGUUAGAGAGAGUGGCGAAAGGGUGAGUAACGCGUGAGUAACCUACCUUCAAGUUGGGGAUAACAGUUAGAAAUGACUGCUAAUACCGAAUGUGAUAGUAUUAAGGCAUCUUAAAACUAUUAAAGAUUUAUUGCUUGAAGAUGGGCUCGCGUUCCAUUAGUUAGUUGGUGAGGUAACGGCUCACCAAGACCGCGAUGGAUAGCUGGUCUGAGAGGAUGAUCAGCCACACUGGGACUGAGACACUGCCCAGACUCCUACGGGAGGCUGCAGUCGAGAAUCUUCCGCAAUGCACGAAAGUGUGACGGAGCAAUGCCGCGUGUGGGAUGACUGCCUUCGGGUUGUAAACCACUGUCACUAGGGACGAAGAUCUGACGGUACCUAGAGAGGAAGCCACGGCUAACUACGUGCCAGCAGCCGCGGUAAUACGUAGGUGGCGAGCGUUAUUCGGAUUUAUUGGGCGUAAAGGGUCCGCCGGUGGCCGAUUAAGUCUGAUGUGAAAGCCUAUGGCUCAACCAUAGAAUUGCAUUGGAAACUGAACGGCUAGAGUAUUGGAGAGGUAAGCGGAAUUUCUGGUGUAGCGGUGGAAUGCGUAGAUAUCAGAAAGAACACCGAAAGC